AUGUCUGCAGGUCGCUCUCAGCACACGGCUACCUCGAGCAUGCGGCGCCGGCAGGAGGCCGAGCGCGCCGUGGCUAAGGAGCGUGAGCGAGCAGCUGUAGCAGCAGCUGCGGCGGCAGCAAGGGUGUCGAGGCUGGCUGCAGCGGAGCUGGCAGCAGCCAAAGCGGAGGUAGAAGCAGCCAGGGUGGAGUUAGAAGCAGCAGCAGCAGCGGACGCAGCACGUGAGGCUACGACAGAUGCCAAAGCACUCCGCGGCGGCUCCGGCAGCUCCAACAGCUCCGCGCCUGCGGACGACGGCGCUGACGCAGACCGCGCCAAAGUGGCGCAAGAGCGGACGGCGCAGUGGGCAGUCGAGCACGCCCGCGCUCCAGGUGGAGGUGUGCACCGCGACGGCGGCUGCAACGACCAGGACCGCGGCCUCUACGAGGUCCGGACUGUGGUCAGGGAUGUUGGUCCCAGUGCUGGGUGGCCUACCCUCACUAAAACCAACUACGUCGAGUGGGCCGGGAUCAUGAAGGUCAGGCUCCAGGUGCGGCGCAUGUGGGAGGCAGUCCAGGACAGCAACGUCGACCACCAAGAGGACCGACGGGCGCUGGACGCCCUCAUCCCCGCAGUCCCGCCCGAGAUGCAGUUCUCGCUUUCCAGCAAGCGGACUGCCAAGGAAGCUUGGGACGCCAUCGCCGCGGCACGCAUCGGCAGCGACCGUGCUUGGAAGUCCACUCUGCAGGCACUUCGUAAGGAGUGGGAGAGCCUGGCUUUCAAGCCAGGUGAGGACGUUGAUGACUUUGCUCUCCGUCUCAACACUGCUGCAGAAGUUGGUGAAGUUUGGUGA
rnacentral:rRNA from 1 species